GACGAACGCUGGCGGCGUGCUUAACACAUGCAAGUCGAACGGAAAGGCCCUGCUUUUGUGGGGUGCUCGAGUGGCGAACGGGUGAGUAACACGUGAGUAACCUGCCCUUGAAUUUGGGAUAACUUCAGGAAACUGGGGCUAAUACCGGAUAGGAGCUCCUGCUGCAUGGUGGGGGUUGGAAAGAUUCGGCGGUUGGGGAUGGACUCGCGGCUUAUCAGCUUGUUGGUGGGGUAGUGGCUUACCAAGGCUUUGACGGGUAGCCGGCCUGAGAGGGUGACCGGCCACCAUGGGACUGCGAUACGGACCAGACUCCUACGGGAGGCAGCAGGGGGGAAUAUUGCACAAUGGGCGGAAGCCUGAUGCAGCAACGCCGCGUGCGGGAUGACGGCCUUCGGGUUGUAAACCGCUUUCGCCUGUGACGAAGCGUGAGUGACGGUAAUGGGUAAAGAAGCAACGGCUAACUACGUG
rnacentral:rRNA from 1 species